CCCGCCCCGCCCUGCCCGGCCCGGCCCGGCUCUGCCCUGCCCAGCCGGGCGGCGGCGGCAGCGGCGCCAUGGGGCUGCUGGAGCGGCUGCGGAAGGACUGGUUCAUCGUGGGCAUAGUGCUCGUCAUCGCCGUGGCGAGGCUGGAGCCCGCCGUCGGCGUUAAAGGGGGACCCUUGAAACCAGAAAUUACCAUAACUUACAUUGCUGUUUCAGCUAUAUUCUUUAACAGUGGACUCUCAUUAAAAACUGAGGAGCUGACAAGUGCUUUGAUGCACGUGAAACUACACCUUUUUGUCCAGAUUUUUACACUUGCGUUCUUCCCAACAGCAAUAUGGCUCUUUCUUCAGCUAUUAUCAAUCACACCUAUAAAUGAAUGGCUUUUAAAAGGCUUGCAGACUGUAGGCUGCAUGCCACCUCCUGUGUCUUCUGCAGUAAUUUUAACCAAAGCUGUUGGUGGAAAUGAGGCAGCUGCUAUAUUUAAUUCUGCUUUUGGAAGUUUUUUGGGCAUUGUUGUAACUCCACUUCUGCUUCUGCUUUUUCUUGGAUCAUCCUCCUCUGUGCCUUUUACAUCUAUAUUCUCGCAGCUGUUUAUGACUGUUGUAGUCCCCCUUAUUAUUGGACAGAUUGUCCGAAGAUACAUCAGGGACUGGCUUGAAAGGAAGAAGCCUCCAUUUGGCGCUAUCAGCAGCUGUGUGCUCCUGAUGAUCAUCUACACCACAUUCUGUGAUACUUUUGCCAAUCCAAAUAUCGACCUUGACAAAUUUAGCUUGAUCGUAAUAGUGUUCAUAAUAUUUUCUGUUCAGAUGAGCUUCAUGUUUUUGACCUUCCUCUUCUCUACAAGGAAUGACUCUGGUUUCACACCAGCAGAUACAGUGGCUAUCAUUUUCUGUUCCACACACAAAUCCCUCACCCUGGGAAUAGAAAAUGGAGUAGUGGUACUUUUUGGCUCUCACAAGUGCAAAUGUCUGGAAUGCAGGGAUUCCAAUGCUGAAGAUAGUAUUUGCAGGUUAUGAGCACCUGUCCUUAAUUUCUGUCCCCUUACUCAUCUAUCAUCCUGCUCAGAUUCUUCUUGGCAGUCUUUUGGUACCAACAAUAAAAUCUUGGAUGGUUUCUAGGCAAAAGGCACUGAAGUUAACCAGGCAACCCAAAGUACCUGUGAAGGUAUAAUGAUGGAGAUGGCCUGUGUCACAGUGAAUGUAUAUAUGUACUAUACUGUACACACAGACGAUUGAGACAACUGGGUAUUUGUGAAUGUUGCUUCAGUGCAUAUUUUAUUUUUAUAUAUACAUAUAUUAUAUAUAUAUAUUAAAACAAUACCUGUUAAGUGCCUUACAGAUGCAUUUUUGGCAAAAGCAUUGUUUCCAGAAGCCACUUUGUUGGUUACUGCAAGAAGUUGUACAGUAUUUUGGAGUCUUUCAGUUUUUAUUUUUCUAACAGAGUGAAAUGAAGAGGUCAUGACUAACAGCUGUUUCUUCCAUUAUCCCUGCUUUGAUGCCAGGGUGCACCAGCUGUAAGUUUCUGUUUUAAACUAGCCAAAAUGACCAGAAGCCUAUCCCACUGCUGGCUUACCCUGGAGAAGAGCUUUCUUGAAGGUUUUUUUCAAGAUUGACUUGAAUUCCUGUGUGAUUCUGUUACACUCCCUAGUCAUAUGACUGUGACAUGCCUUUUUCUUCUGAGUUUGUGUAUACUCAGCAUGGGGCCAUCUAUUGGAUAGAAGCUGAGAAGCAUGAAUUAUUUGCAUUUGUUGACACAGUUGUCUAGACAUUCCUUCAAAGUUAAUGGUUUCUCAGGAAAAUUCUUUCAAUUCCAUUGUAUGAUAUUGUGCCAUUGUAUAUCUUAAAUGCCUCAUAAGCUUCUUCAAAGAAAUGGUCUGGUGCUUGGGUUAUGAGUGAAAUAUUUGUGUUUGCAGCUAGGAGAUCUUUUAUAAUUUACCCCUGAAGAACACAAAUUUUUGUUUUUCUUUCUUUUUCUUUUUGUUGUUGUUGUUCCUGUUUUUGUUUUCCUUCCCCUGGUGCAAUGCACAGAGAUCUGCAGUGACAGAAUUUAGGAUGUUAAUAUCGAAGCAGAGUCUUUAUUGUAGUAAGCCAAGCUAUGUUUUCUAUAUUGCUGCAUUGGUAAUGAAUAAUAGCUUGUGAGGAUAAGAGUUGACAAUUAUUUUUUGUUGCCGAUUAAAAAGAUCCUUACAGUAACAAGAACACUAUCUUAGCUAAUUUGACAAUCAGUGACAACUUUUUAGAAAAUCAAAUGUUACUUUUUUUAGUGAAACUAUAUAAAACAUAUACAAAAUAUUAUUUCUAACGGGAGAGUUGAAGAGAUGGGAGCACAGGCAUAUAUUGUAAGUACCUAGCCAGCACUGCGUCUUGUCUGUGAGAUUAAGAUUUCAGAAGAGGACUCUGCACCAGACUCUGAGGGUUCCUAUCUGCAAAAGCUGUGCUGGCAACUGUGGAUAAAAACAUUUAAAAGGAAUGGAAGAAAUUGGUCAAACGCAGAUCAAUGUAAGUGCAGAAAUGUCAUGUGUGUCACAGUUAACAUUGCAGCAAAUGGUGUGACUGAGCCGAUCUUUAGCAGAUGUAAAUUAUUAUAGCUCUGAUAAGGCUAUAGGCAUUUAUGCAAGCUAAAGGUCUUUUUUUAUGAGAAUAGGCAUGUGAAAUUCAUAUCCUUUUGCCUUACUGAAAAACAAAUUGUCUUUGGUUUACCUAGUGUGUUUUUUCUAGUCUGGUAUUCCUGUGAACAACAGGAAAGCAGUCUGGUACCAAUCAUCAAUGCUUUAGCUGAUGGUCUGUCAGUGCAAGACUGCUCUGUAGCCAUCUGUAGGAGAAACUAUCAGAAGCCGACAGUGUCACCUUAUUCAAAAUUGUCGUCACUGAUAAAACAACCACAUAACAAAGGUACAUGAUGUGGUAAUAAGCUGAAUUCUUUCCAUUCCCUGGAGAGGAAUCAAACUCUGCACACUGAGUUUGUGGGAGGGCUGAGAGACACCCACACUGUCCUCCAGGGCUGUGCUCUCUUCUCACUAGCCAGUAAAGCAAAGGACAGCAGGCAGUGAGCUCACAGUUUGGAUUAGUAUGUCCCUAGAUGGCAGUCAGAUCCACGAACAGGCUAACCUGGGAGGUAACUGGAGAGAGUAAUAUGCAUGUUCCUGGGCCCUUUCUUAAAAAUUCCUUUGUCUGUGCUUAAAAACCCUCCUUGCAGCAGAGUCCAGACUCAGGACAGCUCCUUUUUGUUUGUUAUAAACCUGAACAUCCAGAAUGUUGUAAGGACUUAAUCCCUCUGAAAUUAAUGUCUCUUUCCAUUGGUUUUGAAUGGCAAAGCAACAGUCCCAGGAAGAGUGAUGGCUUUUUUUUUAUAUAUACAUACAGGACAAGUUCAAACAUACAGUAAUUUAGUGUGGUUGUGUGGCUCUAAAUAGUCAGAACACUGCAGCUACCCUUACUGAGCUACCUCUGUGUACUGAAUCUCCUACUUUCAGUACAUCCAACAACUUGCUUAGAUUCCACUGAAAACAUCCUUUCUUUGUUAAAUAUUUUCUGCAUUUAAGAAUAUUUCAGACUGUUUUAAGGUGGAGUUCUGUUAAAGCCUUUACAAAGUCAUUUUUGCUUGGGGCAAUGUAAAUGUGUAUGAGUGUUGGAGGUGUUGAUCUGAAGGGCAUAUGAACCAAAACUGAAAUACAUGUUUUAAAUCCAUACUUAAUGAAACUUAGUUAUGCAUAUCAAUCCUGUUAUGUUUAAAGACUAUUAAGAUGUCUGUUUCUGACUUGCUAUGCUGAUAUGUUCUUAAUAAACAGAAUGAUUUUGAAUUUAAUUUUGCAAAGAGGAAAACAAGAUAAAAUUACUUAUUGAGGUCAACGUUUUACCUCUGUUACCUAUGUUUUUUUGUUUGUUUUUGUGAGUAAGCUUUUAAAUUGUUUGCUUGUCCUUUAAAAAAAAAAAAAGAUCUGUGAACUGUACUGAAAUAUUUUAUGAACUAAACUUGGGGAAAGAAAGUUCUCAAAAUACUGUAGAUUAUAAUCAAAUGGAAGUUAAUUCAUUGAGUUCCAACAAUUUUUCAGUAGAGAGUUAGAAACGUUAUUUUUUUUUUUAGCCUUAAAUUUAACAGAGAUACUUGGUAUAGAACAUAAUCAGGCAAAACUGGUGGCAAAUGAGGACUUUGUGUAUAAAACAUAAGGAUUUUCUUGAUCGUUAAUACUUAGCUUUUACAUAUCUGUAAUCCUGUCUAACGUUAUCAGAGCUAAAAAAAAAAAAAAGACAAUAAAACAGCACUUCAGAGUUCACUGGGAAUCUUGGCACUUCGUGUUGAGUUAUUCAAACAUUUAAUUUUCCCUUUUGUGCAGUAAAUUGAGAAGCUUAUGAUGACCCCAGUAAUAGGUCCAAGAUAAAUCAUUUUUUACAUAUUUAAAAUUAAGAUCUUUAUUUUCUGGUUGUAAUUCUUCUUAUAUAUCCUUUAGCUCGUGUGAAUAGGUUAUAUGACAGAAAAGCCACAGUCUCAGCAGAAGCUGGGCAGUUGUGCUUGUUCACGGACCAAAAGGAGAGUAAUCUAGCAGUUUAGUUUUACAGAAGUAGUCCCCUUAGUUAUUCUAGCAGUCAGAGAAAGAGGAACUUUUAUUUGUGUAUGGUUUUCUGUGAAAAUAUCUUGACAGCAGGAGGUUAGAAGGAAAGAUGAAAUAUUGUCUGUCUGCAAGCACUUUUAUUUAUGUGUAAGUGCAUACGUGCAUAAAAUAUGAGCAGUUACAUAUGUAGAAAUACUAGAAAGGCCCAAGUCCCUGGUAUACAUUUUUUGCAAGUUUGCAUAUGGAGAAAGAGAGACUUUUUUUUUGCUGUUAUUCUGACAUUAAAAAUGAAAUUUCAGACACCAAAUUGUCUUUUGUAUUGAAUCGUAAUCUUAUACAGAACCUUUACAGCAGAUGAUCACGGCAUUGUAUUUGUAAACUGUGGACUAUUUUGCACUUAAAUAGAUGUUGAUGCAUUUGGGAAUUACAACAGAGUAAGAGGCUAAAUCACGGUUUCACCAUUCUGUUAUAAUCCUAAUGUGUUUAUAUUACUAUUAUUAUAAAGUGCCAGAAACACACAGAGACCUUUGCAAACACGUUAAAUAGACAAGAGACUAAAUUCUGUCCUUGGUUACACUUGGACAUCUCCAGUGAAAAGGCUGUUAAGCUGUGGAGUAGUCUCCCAAGGGAAGCUGUUUGAAAAGCCUUGCCAUA